UAAGCGGUAGUUAAAUUUAGAAUUUUGGCCUUGGGUGUCAAUGGUGAAGGUGUAAAUCCUUCCUGCUUAA
rnacentral:tRNA from 1 species